GGGGAUGAAAUGAUUCGACAAGAAGGCACGUUAAAAACUGCAAGCCGGCUUUGAUUAACAGCCGUCCUGCAAAGCAGGAUCCCUUCGAAGCUUUAGCAAAGAGGGAUAAAACAUAAUCAAAAUUAAGUGCAUACAAUAAAGCACAAUCAUUCCUAGCAGAAAUGUCUGGAAUGAAUUUCAGACCUGCUUUAGCAUUAACUGCUUAAGCUUAGUCUGAAUGUCUAUGUUUUCUUUUCUCAACGAGAAAUAUAGGCAUAAACAAAGUUGAGAAAGGGGUAAGGAAGUAGGUUUUGUCCUUAUUCAAUUUUUAAACCUUAACUUUAUUCAGUCUUUUCGAUUAGAUAGGAUAAAGCGAAAUCCGCCAGUUGGCGGAAAUAAUCGAAUAAGCUUGUAGAUGUUUUUAAUGCAAAUUUUUGGACUCCGGGUCGCUCUCGGACAUCUCCACAC
rnacentral:tmRNA from 1 species